rnacentral:rRNA from 1 species
UUAAAUUGAAGAGUUUGAUCAUGGCUCAGAUUGAACGCUGGCGGCAGGCCUAACACAUGCAAGUCGAACGGUAACAGAAAGCAGCUUGCUGCUUUGCUGACGAGUGGCGGACGGGUGAGUAAUGUCUGGGAA